rnacentral:SRP_RNA from 1 species
GCCAGGCACGGUGGCUCACACCUGUAAUCCCAGCACUUUGGGAGGCCGAGGCAGGUGGAUCAUCUGAGGUCAGGAGUUCGAGACCAGCCUGGCCAACAUGGUGAAACCCCAUCUCUACUAAAAAUACAAAAAAUAGCCAGGUGUGGUGACACAUGCCUGUAAUCCCAGCUACUAGGGGGUGCUGAGGCAGGAGAAUUGCUUGAACCCAGGAGGCGGAGNNNNNNNNNNUGUAUUUUUAGUAGAGAUGGGGUUUCGCCAUGUUGGCCAGGCUGCUCUUGAACUCCUGACCUCAAAUGAUCCGCCUGCCUCAG